rnacentral:rRNA from 1 species
UACGAAGGGGGCUAGCGUUGUUCGGAGUUACUGGGCGUAAAGGGCGCGUAGGCGGCGAGUACAGUUUGGCGUGAAAGCCCGGGGCUCAACCUCGGAAUUGCGCUGAAUACUAGCUCGCUUGAGUACCGGAGAGGAUAGUGGAAUUCCCAGUGUAGAGGUGAAAUUCGUAGAUAUUGGGAAGAACACCAGUGGCGAAGGCGGCUAUCUGGACGGUAACUGACGCUGAGGCGCGAAAGCGUGGGGAGCAAACAGG